rnacentral:lncRNA from 1 species
AGACUUUGCGAAGUCUCAGUCGACUGAUUCCUAGACACACCCAAAACUAAAAGAACACAACAAGCAACGCGCGAAAAUCAGGCUUGAAGGCAUAUAUGUUCUUAUUAGCCAUACCCGCGCGAGCGGCACGCUGCGCCUCAUCGAUAUGGUACAUGUAUAUGUCCUAUUUUCAGUGUAUAAAAACUGCAAAAAUUAGUGUGCAUAGAAACUACAAGACAACUAUGCUCAGCAGGGAGAUGAACCAGCGCAAGAACACAUACACACCAUGCACGGACAUGUAUGAACACGGAGCCAUCGUACAUCAAGAAGAUUAUACUCGCCCAAACACGCUGGCCUCAAUGAUGAGCCUGCGAUUGGGCUACCAACACAACACAUCUAAGCUCACCACCACCAUCUCUUCUACGACCAUGGUGUCAUGGACACGGAACUGCCCCAUCUCCAUCUCUGACGUGCCUUCCUCCCAUCACUCCAUCGCCGUCCGCACGGUCCACAGUUCUUGCCCAUCAACUUGCAUGCUUCAUCGCCGCCGGAUAUGAUGCACACGGCCUGGCGCAACACCACAUGGGCCUCCGUCGACGGGAGCAGAUGGAGAAACAGAGAAAGCCAUGUCCGACUCCAACGACGACGUGCGGUCCAGGGUUGUUGCCGAGUGGCUGACACAUCGUAGGGCGGAUGCCGCGAUGCUCUACCUGUCAUGUUACCGCCGCGCCCAUGCUACGCUGCAGCGCUGUAGGCUGUAGCCUCCGUCCGCCGCUGCACCACUCCGUUUCUCUGCUUGAUCUACGAUUUUGAGGAGCAAAAGCAUGUGGAGCUGGUGCAUCUGCCACUGCUAAACGACCGUGGCAUGGUGGAGGGCGUGGAUGGCUACACAGGUUGCCCCUCGGCGGCGGACCUCGCGGUGAUCCUCGGCGUUGUCGACGACAAGACGGCUAGCAGGCUGGCCUCGAGCUUGUCCGGCGCCGCUCAGCAUGGAAGUCCGCAGGAGGCGCUGAGACAACACUGUCAUCGUCGUGUCUCAGGAAGAACGAAGGGGCACUGCUAUGGAGAGCUAUCGGCAAGCAGAACAAGGCCUAGAACUGCUGCUACGGGCUCCAUGCUGAGUGGGGGAGAGGCUGGGAAAGAAAUGAAGCGGCCUAAUGGCUGCGGUCGAGAGACGACUGGCAGCGAGCAGAUAGAGGCAACAAAGAAAAGGCAGCCCGCAUGUUAGGAUGAGAAGACCGCGCGAGGCGAGACAAACGGGUUUUAGUCAAUGCAUUUGAGAGGACAGAAUGUGAGCUUUUAUAGGCAUGUUAGACGGUGGACGAUUUGGCCAGAGGCUUUGAGAAAACACGGGAUGAUGGACACGUGAAGAAACGGAAACGAACCGACAAACACUGAUCCACGCGUCAACUCACGUAGCAGCCAACAAUAUCACACCAGAAACCAGGUGAUGCAGCAUGCAUGCGUAUGCAUGUGGUCCAAUCACGGACGAAAACAAAAAUCGAAUAUGCAUGCAGCCCAAUACCCAUAAUUAAGGAGCCCAUCCAGACAAAUGAGACAAAACCGUUACGUGCAUGACUUCACCAUUGGUCGGUCGUCUACGCAGGAGCCGGGCAGCAGCUGAUUGCGCCCAUGCCCCUUGCCGUCUUGUCGCUGUACCUAAGCGCCAAUCCCGUGGCCACCGCUCCGGGCAGCUGCUACUGGUCGGUCAUCCACCCAAGCGGUGUGUUCCAAUGCAUACAAUAGCUGAUUUAACCAUGUACUUUUGUCGCCUUGUAGUUGGACGUAGACCACCAGUUUGCUCAUUUCUUGUUCGUUGGACGUCCCUCUUCUCGCAUGCAAGCACAUACGUAUAUACUAAGCCAAAUCGGCCCAUACAACGGCAAAAGAAAAUUUGAAGCUGCAUUGCCGGCUAGAGCGGCACAUAGAGAAGAAGAAAAAGUGAAAUGCCACACGGUCAAACAACCUACACCCUAGAGCGGCGCAUAGAUAGGGGGCUGUUUUCUUCUCAGCCUAAGGUUGCCAAGCCUAACCUUAGUCAUGUCACAACACUUUAGGCAUGUGUUUAAUUUAUUGCCACACUUGUGGCUUGACACACUUUUCUAGUUAUAUGGCCCACAAGUUAUAGGCUUAAUUUUUUGCCAAAUCUUGCCACACUUGUGGUGGUCAUUUUGUUAGCCACACUUUUUGUGGCAGCCACACUUUGCCUAAGGUUAAUUGUGACAAAGUUAGUCAUGAACCAAACGGGCCAUAAAAGUCCCAAAAACUACACGGUGGAACAACCUCCAAAACCAAAAUGCAAACGCUAGAGCUACACGGGGAUGGGGCAACCACGUUCAAAAAAUUUCAAACAAAAACACACAACCACACAUGCAUUUCUACCCAACGAUAUCCCAAAGAAAUACACGCGUCAAGACACCUAAUGCCCACAAGUUACUUUCAUCCAAGUGGCUAAAUGUCAGGGCAAAAACAUCCCCGGAAAUAGGGGUUUGGGUAUGACAAACGUGUACUAAAUCCUCAAGCACAUCAGACAACAUUGUUGACUUAUUUCUUUACCAUUAAUCAGGAAUUACACCGUUUACUUGAUUGAUGGUACAAUCUCAUUGAAAUCGCUAUAUGUUUUCUAGCCUUUGAUCAAUAAUAUGGUCAAUUGCAGGAAGCAUUGUCUCUGUGGCCAACGGAUCAUCUGCCCCUUUCUCUUAUUCUGAUGCAGGGACAUAGCUAUCCGGAAAUGGUACUCGAAAAAAAGGUAUUCAAAAAGGGUGGAGGGGAGGGGCAGAGGGCAACUGCGAAGAAAUAUGUCAGAUGUUUGAUAGUUAAUAGCAAAUGAUUGACAAGGCAGUCUGAUGAACAGACUUCGGGCUCUGCUGCGGAGCGGGACUCGGCAUUGAGUCCGCCAACCAGCAAAUGAGAUAUAUGAUGUAAUGGGGAGGAGUUGUAAAUCAUAUGCAUCCCAACAUAACAAAAAUUGUCCAAUCUAUUUCUUGCAGGGGACAUAUAUAUUUGUUGUUUAUAUUACGUAACAGUUUAUAGUUUUUUUCCUUUCCAUUUGAACAAAGUUGUAGGUUGCAGACACUCAAACUCUAGAGGAACAAACCGGAGGUCACCUAAGUAAUGCAUUAUCGACAUCUGAUUCUUCAAAAGGUAAACCAAUGCCAUGGAGAGUUCAUGGAAUGUUAGAGAAGUGAUUGAUGUUGAGUUAUCUAGCAGUGUCUGUAAUCAUCCAAAGUGCAUAAAGUACUUUUGACGGCCACUUGAAUACGGUGGAGCCGAAACAACUUGACCAACACUAAAUUAUUUUGCAAUGCCUCUAGGAGUCCACACUUAUCCACUACACACACCCAAGUACAUAAGAGUUUAAUUAUUCUGCAAGAAAACAAAAGAGAACACACAUAGAGUACUAAUUGGAAGGGAUCAUGGACACCAGUCAAUGAUCUAUUGCUACGGUGAAAAAUAUAGUGCAGAAAUGACUCAACAUGAACAUUGGUAGGCAUCAAGAUAGGUUAACUUGUUCCUUGAGUGUGAUUUGCUUCAUCCUUCAAACCCAAAAAGCAACCACAAAUAGCAAAGAAGAAGGUGACAAAUCACCUUCGGAUAUCAAUGAGAGAUUCAAAGAAACACAAAAAAUCAACUCGAACCACAUUUUGUUACUCGAUCGCCAGCUUACUAAUCAAGCUCACCUGUGUUGUCACCACUUCAUGAACUCCCACCAAUGGCUCGCAUCCUUGGUUUCUAUGUGAUCGCAGGUCAUCCGAACACCACCCUCCAAGGUAGGGUUAUAACCUGCACCACUGCAGGCAAAAAGCAAAGAAGAAUGAAUGAAUUAGAGAUGGGGGCUUCCUCACCAAAUAAGCAUGUAAAUACAAUAAGCACAACAUACAUACUAUUGCAUCCCAUCGAAAUGCAAUGCAUGUAGCACACGAAGAAAGAAAUGAGCAUCAUCAUGUUGCGCAGUAGGGUUUGAGUAAGGCUACAAGAGCCAGGUGAAACACUAUUAAUAACACGGUGAGAUUCAGAAAGAUACUAGCCUCAACAACAAACAAGAUUCAGAAAGAUACUUGUUAGGAAUUAACCAAUAGAGCUAAUCCCUGCUUUUGUAAUUAGUAUGUCGGUUGGUAAUUAGCAACCGGCAGCCGUGCCUCGUUUGCACACGCCCCUUGUAACUCUAUGUAUAGACAUCAUCAACAAAUAUUGAAACUGCUGCUGGUUCAUUUGUCCUCUCUCGUGAUUCUCUCUCAAAAGUAGUGAGAGAGCACCUCAUGUUGGGUUUGUCCCAUUGGUUCACAAACUCGCACACACACACACACACACACACACACACACACACACACACACACACACACACACAUUGGUAGUAGUCGACAUUACACGAGCCGUCCUAGUGUCCCACGUGGAGGUGAAAAAAAUGCAGUUUUUGCUUGGAAACGCACCGAUGAACGCGAUACCAUCCAAAGCAAUCACCUUUGGAAUUCUUCACUUUAUCUCGUCGGAUACCAUCAAUCGCCUCGAAAUGCAAUGCAUGUAAAGGAAACGGACAUCACGAUGUGGCACGGUAGGGUGUACAAGAACAGGUGCAGCAGUGUUAAUAACAUGCGUUCUAAGAUUCAGGUGUAGGGCUUUCUUAUGGUUUGGGUAGGAUAAAAACACUACAGGACAGUGUAAAGUGGCUAAGCAUCUUCAUUUUUUUUAUCAAAAUGGGUUUCCCACCUCUCCAUGUUAUUGAUAAAAUGGGACACCGUAUCCAGGACAGUUCAUAGCAUCCAGGCCAACUUAGAGUAGCAGACCAGUAGAAAUAUAACCUACAUAGCAGUUAUGAAAUAAAAGUGGCCACGUAGGGCCAUGGAAUGACACAUCUGAACUGCGCAGUAGAAAAACUAGGAUCUACUAUCGCAAUCUUGCACACAACAGCUCAACCAGAGUGAGCCCUGUGAUAGAAGCCACCUAGUCCUCCCUACGCCAGCCGGGGCCUUCACUUCCAAGCUAUGCGUAAUAAUUCGCCUCUUCGACGGUCCAACGGCAGGUGACAGCGUCGGAGUAAGACUGAUUGGUGGGCCACACACAGGAUCUUCCAUUAUUUUUUGCAAAAGUGAGUUGGCCUUCCCUAGGAUAACGCGAGUGCUUAUCCAUGACACACCCUGAAAGCACAUUUGGUUACGCAUGGUCAAAAUGCUCCAAAUGGCAUUAACACGAGCAAUGUUAUCUUCUUAUUGUUAAGGCCCCAUAAGACAGACAACUCUAUCAUAUUAUGUGGCCAAUAGAAGCUAAAAGUAUCAUCAAAGUCUUUCCAAAUUUCCUUAGCAACAAUACAAUCAAAAAAUAGAUGAUGGAUAGUUUCAUUUUCACCAUAGAACAAGCAAGUCCCAUCAUUAACUUGUUGCCUCUUGCCAAAAUUAUCUCUAGUGAGGAUUUUGUUGUGGUAAGCUAGCCAUAUAAACACUAAGUAUCUAUGUCGAACAGGAAUUUUCCAAAAGUUCUUCUAAAUUGGGGUAGACCCCCCCCCCCCAAUUAAUCAUGUUAUAAAAGGAUGUUGCCCAGUACACUCCAUUAGAUUCAAGUGCCCACACAGGCAUGUCACUGUUGUCAUUAGGGAUAUGUUGAGAUAGUAACAACGUAAGAUCCUGCCACUUCCUACGGAAGUUCUCUUCAACACAGUGACUGACAGUAAGUUUUAAGUUUCACACCAUCCCAAACCUGGGCAACAGUACUAGUAUGUUUUGUUUGACAAAUGUAAAAAAUGUCCUAGGAUUUGGUUUUACAGGAAUCAGGCAGUUUUCCGUCUGGCAAGUACAGACGGCAAAGAGUGCCGGCAAAGCCGAAGUGGUAAAGAAUACAAUGUCGUCAGCUUUUCAUUGGGCAGACGGCAAAGAAUUUGCCAUCAACCAAACUGUGGAUUUGCCGUCUUCCCUCAAACCCACAGACGGCAAACAAAACUAUCUUUGCCGUCAGUAAUACUACAUGUUUGCCGUCCGCCCUUGAGCCCACAGAUGGCAAAUAUUUUUUAUAUUAUUAAAAAAACAUGGUUAUUCGUUUGUGUCAAUCCGUCCUGCGUUCAUGCCCCGUUCAUGUCUGUCAGUUCAUUGUUACUGUCAUGUUUGGUGUUCAUGUCCACAGCAGCAGUCGGAGCCGAACGGAGGAGAUGUUGGCUGCCCUGGCCGCGCCGCUCAACAGCACCAAUAGGAGGGAGGAGACACUGGCCGCCCUACCCGCAGUCUCCUCCUGCGCCGGCCCACAAAGGCCUCCCGCGCCGACCGCAACAGUCGUGCCCAGCUCAGCACGCUCGCCACUCGACCAUCGCCUGCUCGCACCGCUCGCACGUGGAUUGCUCGUGCCGCCCGCCUGCGCGUCGCCCGCAGCGGCCUCCCAUGCCGGCCGCCCUGCCCGUGCCGGCCCACAACACCACACCCGCCCGCGCCCUGCUAACGCCUCCCGCGCGUCACCGCCAGCGGGCCGUUCACCGCCGCCAAUGCGCAGCUCCAGCGCCGGACUUUGUCGCGCAUUGCAGCGGGAGAAGAAGGGACCGGCAGAGACGGAGCAGAGGAAGGGGGAGGCCGGAGGUCUGCCACAGUGGUGGGGGUUUGCCGGCCGGAGGAGCCGCGACUGGUGGCGCCCGCUAGUGGAUUUUGACACGGGCGAUGUGGUGGGGGUGGGAUAUGUGCGCGUUAGAGAGAGGGGGGGUAUGAGAGAGUGGUGGUGCCAGAGGAUAAGAUAGAGAGAUAUCGUCAAAGGUCGAGAACGUGCCAACAUGGUGUGCUCGGGCUAGGGAGAGAUCAGCGAGAGACGGAGUGGUUGUUGGGGAACGUAGUAAUUUCAAAAAAAUUCCUACGCACACGCAAGGAUCAUGGUGAUGCAUAGCAACGAGAGGGGAGAGUGUUGUCCACGUACCCUCGUAGACCGAAAGCGGAAGCGCUAGAACAACGUGGUUGAUGUAGUCGUACGUCUUCAUGAUCCAACCGAUCCAAGUACCGAACGUACGGCACUUCCGAGUUCAGCACACGUUCAGCUCGAUGAUGAUCCCCGGACUCCGAUCCGGCAGGGUUUCGGGGAAGAGUUCCGUCAGCAUGACUGUGUGGUGAUGGUGAUGAUUUUCUACCGACGCAGGGCUUCGCCUAAGCACCGCUACGAUAUGACCGAGGUGGAAUAUGGUGGAGGGGGGCACCGCACACGGCUAAGGAAAGACACGAAGAUCAACUUGUGUGUCAUGGGGUGCCCCCCUGCCCCUGUUUAUAAAGGAGGGAGGGGGGAGGUGCGUCCGGCCCCUAGGGGUGCGCCUGGAGGAGUCCUACUCCCACCGGGAGUAGGACUCCCUCAUCUUGCCUUGUUAGAGAAGGAAGGGGGAAGGGGGAAAGAGGAAAGGGGGGCACCGCCCCCCCCCCCCCCCCGGCCCCUUCCUUGUCCUAUUCGGAGUAGGGGGGAGGGGGCGCGCGGCCUGCCCUGGCCGGCCCUCCUCUUCUCCCUUAGGGCACAUGUAGGCCCAUUAACCCCCGGGGGGUUCUGGUAACCCCCCGGUACUCCGGUAAAAUCCCGAUUUCACCCGGAACGGUUCCGAUAUCCAAAUAUAGGCUUCCAAUAUAUCAAUCUUUAUGUCUCGACCAUUUCGAGACUCCUCGUCAUGUCCGUGAUCACAUUCGGGACUCCGUACAACCUUUGGUACAUCAAACACUAUAAACUCAUAAUAUAACUGUCAUCGUAACUUUAAGCGUGCGGACCCUACGGGUUCGAGAACUAUUUAGACAUGACCUAGAACUGUUACCGGUCAAUAACCAAUAGCGGAACCUGGAUGCUCAUAUUGGCUCCUACAUAUUCUACGACGAACUUUAUCGGUCAAACCGCAUAACAACAUACGUUGUUCCCUUUGUCAUCGGUAUGUUACUUACCCGAGAUUCGAUUAUCGGUAUCCAAUACCUAGGUCAAUCUCGUUACCGACAAGUCUAUUUACUCGUUACGUAAUACAUCAUUCCGUAACUAACUCAUUAGCUACAUUGCUUGUAAGGCUUAUAGUGAUGUGCAUUACCGAGAGGGCCCAGAGAUACCUCUCCGACAAUCGGAGUGACAAAACCUAAUCUCAAAAUACGCCAACUCAACAUGUACCUUUGGAGACACCUGUAGAUCUCCUUUAUAAUCACCCAGUUACGUUGUGACGUUUGGUAGCACACAAAAUGUUCCUCCGGUAAAUGGGAGUUGCAUAAUCUCAUAGUUGUAGGAACUUUGUAUAAGUCAUGAAGAAAGCAAUAUCAACAUACUAAAUGAUCAAGUGCUAAGCUAACGGAAUGGGUCAAGUCAAUCACAUCAUUCUUCUAAUGAUGUGAUCCCGUUAAUCAAAUGACAACACAUGUCUAUGGUUAGGAAACACAACCAUGUUUGAUUAAUGAGCUAGUAAAGUAGAGGCAUACUAGUGAUGUUAAGUUUGUCUAUGUAUUCACACAUGUAUUAUGUUUCCGGUUAAUACAAUUCUAGCAUGAAUAAUAAACAUUUAUCAUGAUAUGAGGAAAUAAAUAAUAACUUUAUUAUUGCCUCUAGGGCAUAUUUCCUUCAGUCUCCCACUUGCACUAGAGUCAAUAAUCUAGAUUACACAGUAAUGAUUCUAACACUCAUGGAGUCUUGGUGCUGAUCAUGUUUUGCUCGUGGAAGAGGCUUAGUCAACGGGUCUGCAACAUUCAGAUCCGUAUGUAUCUUGCAAAUCUCUAUGUCUCCCACCUGGACUUGGUCCCGGAUGGAAUUGAACCAUCUCUUGAUGUGCUUGGUCCUCUUGUGAAAUUUUGAUUCCUUUGCCAAGGCAAUUGCACCAGUAUUGUCAUAGAAGAUCUUCAUUGGUUCCGAUGCACUAGGUAUGAUACCCAGAUCGGAAAUGAACUCCUUUAUCCAGACUCCUUCAUUUGCUGCUUCCGAAGCAGCUAUGUACUCCGCUUCGCAUGUAGAUCCCGCCACGACGCUUUGUUUAGAACUGCACCAACUUACAGCUCCACCGUUUAAUAAAAACACGUAUCCGGUUUGCGAUUUAGAAUCGUCCGGAUCAGUGUCAAAGCUUGCAUCGACGUAACCAUUUACGACUGAAGCAUGGGAACAUCUUUCAUUUUCUCUCUAUCUUCUGCUGUGGUCGGGCAUUGAGUCUGACUCAACUUCACACCUUGUAAUACAGGCAAGAACCCUUUCUUUGCCUGAUCCAUUUUGAACUUUUUCAAAACUUAUCAAGGUAUGUGCUUUGUGAAAGUCCAAUUAAGCGUCUUGAUCUAUCUCUAUAGAUCUUGAUGCCCAAUAUGUAAGCAGCUUCACCGAGGUCUUUCAUUGAAAAACUUUUAUUUAAGUUUCCAUUUAUGCUAUCCAGAAAUUCUAUAUCAUUUCCAAUUAACAAUAUGUCAUCUACAUAUAAUAUCAAAAAUGCUAUAGAGCUCCCACUCACUUUCUUGUAAAUACAGGCUUCUCCAAAAGUCUAUAUAAAACCAUAUGCUUUGAUCACACUAUCAAAGCGUUUAUUCCAACUCCGAGAUGCUUGCACCAGUCCAUAAAUGGAACGCUGGAGCUUGCACACUUUGUUAGCACCUUUUGGAUUGACAAAACCUUCCGGUUGCAUCAUAUACAACUCUUCUUCCAGAUAUCCAUUGAGGAAUGCAGUUUUGACAUCCAUUUGCCAAAUUUCAUAAUCAUAAAAUGCGGCAAUUGCUAACAUGAUUGAGACAGACUUAAGCAUCGCUACGGGUGAGAAAGUCUCAUUGUGGUCAACUCCUCGAACUUGUCGAAAACCUUUUGCAACAAGUCGAGCUUUGUAGACAGUUACAUUACCAUCAGCGUCAGUCUUCUUCUUGAAGAUCCAUUUAUUUUCAAUGGCUUGCCGAUCAUCGGGCAAGUCAACCAAAGUCCAUACUUUGUUCUCAUACAUGGAUCCCAUCUCAGAUUUCAUGGCCUCAAGCCAUUUUACGGAAUUUGGGCUCAUCAUCGCUUCCUCGUAGUUCGUAGGUUCGCCAUGGUCAAGUAACAUGAAUUAGAAUAGGAUUACCGUACCAUUCUGGUGCGGAUCUUACUCUGGUAGUCCUACGAGGUUCAGUAGUAACUUGAUCUGAAGCUUCAUGAUCAAUAUCAUUAGCUUCCUCACUGAUUGAUGUAGUUGUCACAGGAACCGGUUCUUGUGAUGAACUACUUUCCAACAAGGGAGCAAGUACAGUUACCUCAUCAAGUUCUACUUUCCUCCAACUCAUUUCUUUCGAGAGAAACUCCUUCUCUAGAAAGGAUCCAAAUUUCGCAACGAAAAUCUUGCCUUCAGAUCUGUGAUAGAAGGUGUACCCAAUAGUCUCUUUUGGGUAUCCUAUGAAGACACAUUUCUCCGAUUUGGGUUCGAGCUUAUCUGGUUGAAGUUUCUUCACAUAAGCAUCGCAGCCCCAAACUUUAAGAAACAACAACUUUGGUUUCUUUCCAAACCACAGUUCAUAAGGCGUCGUCUCAACGGAUUUUGAUGGUGCCCUAUUUAACGUGAAUGCGGCCAUCUCUAAAGUAUAACCCCAAAACGAUAGCGGUAAAUCAGUAAGAGACAUCAUAGAUCGCACCAUAUCUAGUAAAGUACGAUUACGACGUUCAGACACACCAUUUUGUUGUGGUGUUCCGGGUGGCGUGAGUUGCGAAACUAUUCCGCAUUGUUUCAAAUGUAGACCAAACUCGUAACUCAAAUAUUCUCCUCCACGAUCAGAUCGUAGAAAAUUUAUUUUCUUGUUAUGAUGAUUUUCCACUUCACUCUGAAAUUUUUUGAACUUUUCAAAUGUUUCAGACUUGUGUUUCAUCAAGUAGAUAUACCCAUAUCUGCUCAAAUCAUCUGUGAAGGUGAGAAAAUAACGAUACCCGCUGCGAGCUUCAAUAUUCAUUGGACCACAUACAUCAGUAUGUAUGAUUUCCAAUAAAUCAGUUGCUCGCUCCAUAGUUCCGGAGAACGGCGUUUUAGUCAUCUUGCCCAUGAGGCACGGUUCGCAAGUACCAAGUGAUUCAUAAUCAAGUGAUUCCAGAAGUCCAUCGGUAUGGAGUUUCUUCAUGCGCUUUAUACCGAUAUGACCUAAACGGCAGUGCCACAAAUAAGUUACACUAUCAUUAUCAACUAUGCAUCUUUUGGCUUCAACAUUAUGAAUAUGUGUAUCACUACUAUCGAGAUUCAAUAAAAAUAGACCACUCUUCAAGGGUGCAUGACCAUAAAAGAUAUUACUCAUAUAAAUAGAACAAUCAUUAUUCUCUGAUUUAAAUGAAUAACCGUCCCGCAUCAAACAAGAUCCAGAUAUAAUGUUCAUGCUCAACGCUGGUACCAAAUAACAAUUAUUUAGGUCUAAAACUAAUCCCGAUGGCAGAUGUAGAGGUAGCGUGCCGACCGCGAUCACAUCGACUUUGGAACCAUUUCCCACGCGCAUCAUCACCUCGUCCUUAGUCCAUCUUCGCUUAAUCCGUAGUCCCUGUUUCGAGUUGCAAAUAUUAGCAACAGAACAAUACCCAGGUGCUACUGCGAGCAUUAGUAAGGUACACAUCAAUAACAUGUAUAUCACAUAUACCUUUGUUCACUAUGCCAUCUUUAUUAUCCGCCAAAUACUUGGGGCAGUUCCGCUUCCAGUGUCCAGUCUGCUUGCAGUAGAAGCACUCAGUCUCAGGCUUAGGUCCAGACUUGGAUUUCUUCUCUUGACCAGCAACUUGUUCGAUUUUCUUCUUGAAGUUCCCCUUCUUCUUCCCUUUGCCCUUUUUCUUGAAACUGGUGGUCUUAUUGACCAUCAACACUUGAUGUUCCUUCUUGAUUUCUACCUCCGCAGCCUUUAGCAUUGAGAAGAGCUCGGGAAUAAUCUUGUCCAUCCCUUGCAUAUUAUAGUUCAUCACGAAGCUCUUGUAGCUUGGUGGCAGUGAUUGAAGAAUUCGGUCAAUGACACUAUCAUCAGGAAGAUUAACUCCCAGUUGAAUCAAGUGAUUAUUAUACCCAAACAUUUUGAGUAUGUGUUCACUGACAGAACUAUUCUCCUCCAUCUUACAGCUAUAGAACUUAUUGGAGACUUCAUCUCUCUCAAUCCGGGCAUUUGCUUGAAAUAUUAACUUCAACUCCUGGAACAUCUCAUAUGCUCCAUGACGUUCAAAACAUCGUUGAAGACCCGGUUCCAAGCCGUAAAGCAUGGCACACUGAAUUAUCGAGUAGUCAUCAGCUUUGCUCUGCCAGACGUUCUUAACGUCGUCAGUUGCAUCUGCAGCAGGCCUGGCACCCAGCGGUGCUUCCAGGACGUAAUUCUUCUGUGAAGCAAUGAGGAUAAUCCUCAAGUUACGGACCCAGUCCCUGUAGUUGCUACCAUCAUCUUUCAACUUAGCUUUCUCAAGGAACGCAUUAAAAUUCAAUGGAACAACAGCAUGAGCUAUCUAUCUACAACAAACAUAGACAAGCAAAAUACUAUCAGGUACUAAGUUCAUGAUAAAUUUAAGUUCAAUUAAUCAUAUUAAUUAAGAACUCCCACUUAGACAGACAUCUCUCUAGUCAUCUAAGUGAUCACGUGAUCCAAAUCAACUAAACCAUGUCCGAUCAUCACGUGAGAUGGAGUAGUUUCAAUAGUGAACAUCACUAUGUUGAUCAUAUCUACUAUAUGAUUCACGUUCGACCUUUCGGUCUCCAUGUUCCGAGGCCAUAUCUGUAUAUGCUAGGCUCGUCAAGUUUAACCUGAGUAUUCCGUGUGUGCAACUAUUUUGCACCCGUUGUAUUUGAACGUAGAACAUAUCACACCCGAUCAUCACGUGGUGUCUCAGCACGAAGAACUUUGGCAACGGUGCAUACUCAGGGACACUUCUUGAUAAUUUAGUGAGAGAUCAUUAAAAUGCUACCAUCAAUCAAAGCAAGAUAAGAUGCAUAAAGGAUAAACAUCACAUGCAAUCAAUAUAAGUGAUAUGAUAUGGCCAUCAUCAUCCUGUGCUUGUGAUCUCCAUCUCUGAAGCACCGUCGUGAUCACCGUCGUCAUCGGCGCGACACCUUGAUCUCCAUCGUAGCAUCGUUGUUGUUUACGCCAUUUAUUGCUUCUACGACUAUCGCUACCGCUUAGUGAUAAAGUAAAGCAAUUACAGGGCGUUUGCAUUUCAUACAAUAAAGCGACAACCAUAUGGCUCCUGCCAGUUGCCGAUAACUUCGGUUACAAAACAUGAUCAUCUCAUAGAAUAAAAUAUAGCAUCACGUCUUGACCAUAUCACAUCACAACAUGCCCUGCAAAAACAAGUUAGACGUCCUCUACUUUGUUGUUGCAAAUUUUACGUGGCUGCUACGAGCUGAGCAAAAACCAUUCUUACCUACGCGUCAAAACCACAAUGAUAUUUCAUCAACUUAGUGUUGUUUUAACCUUCACAAGGACCGGCCGUAGCCACACUCGGUUCAACUAAAGUGAGAGAGACAGACACACGCCAGUCACCUUUAAGCAACGAGUGCUCGUAACGGUGAAACCAGUCUCGCGUAAGCGUACGCGUAAUGUCGGUCCGGGCCGCUUCAUCUCACAAUACCGCUGAACCAAAGUAUGACAUGCUGGUAAGCAGUAUGACUUGUAUCGCCCACAACUCACUUGUGUUCUACUCGUGCAUAUGACAUCUACGCAUAAGACCUGGCUCGGAUGCCACUGUUGGGGAACGUAGUAAUUUCAAAGAAAUUCCUACGCACACGCAAGGAUCAUGGUUAUGCAUAGCAACGAGAGUGGAGAGUGUUGUCCAUGUACCCUCAUAGACCGAGAGCGGAAGCGUUAGAACAACGCGGUUGAUGUAGUCGUACAUCUUCAUGAUCCAACCGAUCCAAGUACCGAACGUACGGCACCUCCGAGUUCAGCACACGUUCAGCUCGAUGACGAUCCCCGGACUCUGAUCCAGCAGGGUGUCGGGGAAGAGUUCCAUCAGCACGAAGGCGNNNNNNNNNNAGAGGAAAGGGGGGCGCCGCCCCCCUUCCUUGUCCUAUUCGGACUAGGGGGAGGGGGCGCGCGACCUGCCCUAGCCGGCCCUCCUCUUCUCCCUUAGGGCCCAUGUAGGCCCAUUAUCCCCCGGGGGGAUUCCGGUAACCCCCCGAUACUCCGGUAAAAUCCCGAUUUCACCCGGAACGAUUCCGAUAUCCAAAUAUAGGCUUCCAAUAUAUCAAUCUUUAUAUCUCGACCAUUUCGAGACUCCUCGUCAUGUCCGUGAUCACAUCCGGGACUCCGAACAACCUUUGGUACAUCAAACACUAUAAACUCAUAAUAUAACUGUCAUCGUAACGUUAAGCGUGCGGACCCUACUGGUUCGAGAACUAUGUAGACAUGACCUAGAACUGUUUCCGGUCAAUAACCAAUAGCGGAACCUGGAUGCUCAUAUUGGCUCCUACAUAUUCUACGAAGAUCUUUAUCGGUCAAACCGCAUAACAACAUACGUUGUUCCCUUUGUCAUCGGUAUGUUACUUACCCGAGAUUCGAUCGUCGGUAUCCAAUACCUAGUUCAAUCUCGUUACCGGCAAGUCUCUUUACUCGUUACGUAAUACAUCAUUCCGUAACUAACUCAUUAGCUACAUUGCUUGCAAGGCUUAUAGUGAUGUGCAUUACCGAGAGGGCCCAGAGAUACCUCUCCGACAAUCGGAGUGACAAAACCUAAUCUCAAAAUACGCCAACUCAACAUGUACCUUUGGAGACACCUGUAGAGCUCCUUUAUAAUCACCCAGUUAGUUGUGACGUUUGGCAGCACACAAAAUGUUCCUCCGGUAAACGGGAGUUGCAUAAUCUCAUAGUUGUAGGAACUUUGUAUAAGUCAUGAAGAAAGAAAUAGCAACAUACUAAACGAUCAACUGCUAAGCUAACGGAAUGGGUCAAGUCAAUCACAUCAUUCUUCUAAUGAUGUGAUCCUGUUAAUCAAAUGACAACACCUGUCUAUGGUUAGGAAACACAACCAUCUUUGAUUAAUGAGCUAGUCAAGUAGAGGCAUACUAGUGACGUUAAGUUUGUCUAUGUAUUCACACAUGUAUUAUGUUUCCGGUUAAUACAAUUCUAGCAUGAAUAACAAACAUUUAUCAUGAUAUGAGGAAAUAAACAAUAACUUUAUUAUUGCCUCUAGGGCAUAUUUCCUUCAAUGGUGGGGGUAGUCCUAGCCAUGGGCAGUCCAGGCCGAACGACUUGGCCCGACCCCACGUUACACCCAGGCCGUGCUCGGGCCUAGAUUUUGAGCCCGAAUGGGGGCCGGGCCCGCCGUUUUCGCGAUAUACUAAAGGGGACCGGCCCGCGGCCUGAGGCCCGUCGAGCUUUAUCACUUUCGAGCUGGGCUUGGGCCCAAAAACCAGGCCCGACGGCCGGGCCGGGCUCGGGCCUAUGAUUUUUGCCUCGGGCUUUGGUAGGCCCGACCCGGCAGAUGGCCGGGUAUAGGUGGGGGUGUGGCUGUGAUCGUCCUCAUCGAUCCGUGGGAUCAAUCCAUGGACUAUGUUUUCUCUUUGUCGUCUGNNNNNNNNNNNNNNNNNNNNNNNNNNNNNNNNNNNNNNNNNNNNNNNNNNNNNNNNNCAGACGGCAAAGAUCUUUGUCGUCUGUAUGUAUUUUUUCAGACGGCAAAGUGAGCUCUUUGCAGUCUGUAUUGUUUUUACAGACGGCAAGGUUUAUUUUGCCGUUACUUUUUCUUUGUCGUCUGCUGAUGACGGCAAACCCUUUCUUUGUAGUCUGCCCCGAUGAAAAUGCUGACGACAAAGAAAGUACUGACGACAAAUCUCCAUGUUUCCCGUACUGCUAAAGUUUCUGUGGUGAUCAAAUAGUUGAUUUUUUUACCACGUCAUUGGUUGUACUUGGGAUCGGAUAUAAGUUGUAGUUAGUUUUUUUUGUUAUGGAAUGUGAAUGUUUAUUCAAUAUUAGCUAUGAAAAGCAUUGUUCUGAAGAUCUUUACUUUUGACUGUAUUGGUGUGUUUCUUUCCACUUGGUGGGUGGUCCCUUACUAUGUAGAGACCAAACUAAAAAUUUAUAUAAAAGACACAUAUUUUCUUAUCUAAAUUUCCGUGACCAAAACAAUUUGCUUUUGAGAGCCUCAAGUUAUAUGACAAAUUUCAUCCUAAGGUACCAACAACACGCAUAUGCGACAACUUCUCUGACGUGGUGGUCCUCCGUAUGUAACGUCCAUUCACUGAAGAUCGUACCAUCAGUUACACGGCUGGACACCCACCUAUUGAACGAUUGGAUCAUUUUGGAAAAGCGCUUUAUAAUUUCAUUGUUGGUACUAAUCCCGGGGCGGGGUUACACCAGGAUGAUUUGAUUUCAACAUCCGAUGUCACUUAUGCUCUAUCUUGCCACAGUAGAGCUAUCUCAUGUCGUCGGUUGCAGCCAGUUAGAUCAUGUUUGGACUGUUGAGGUAUCCUGUGUGUCUUGCCACCAUAGGAUUCCAGUCGUAUCAGUGUCUUUUCAGUAAACCAUGUUCAGUGAGACUAAGAGAAUCCUCUCCGGAAUGUAGUACUAUAUCUUUUCCAUUUUACCUAUACGUUAUAUGUAAGGUAGUUAUGAAUGAAAGUCUUUUCCCUUUAUUUGCCUUCUCAUAUAAAUGGUAUGCCUGCAAAAUAUUCCAAUGAAUACAAUACGUCUGUCUCAACGGGUGCGGCGUGCCACCAUGCCGGGUUCGCUAGUAUUAGAGGAGAGGAGAAGAAAAGCAUCCAUUCCGAGGUGGUUUCACGAUUGGCAGGGUAAUUAAGGGGCGCGGCAGCGGACAGUGAGGUGGAUUGGCGGGCUUGCGGAGGCAUGCCACCAUCCCCCGAGCCAUCGAUAGCAAAAAGGUAAAAAUAUUAGAGGACGCUAAAAUAGACAAGGAGUUUACUGCAGCGUCCUCUAGCAUUAGAGAACAUUGCCUUCCUCUGAGCCGUCCAAAGCAAAAAAAAAAAAAUAGAGCAUGAAACUAGCGAAAUACUAGAGGAGUAAAUAUUACGUCCAGAAAAUAAAUUAAAAAGAUUGCCUUCCUGUGAGACGUCCAAAGCAAACGAAUAGAGCACAAAAUUAGCAAAAUUUUAGAAGAAAAAAUAUAUUGCGUCUAAAAAAUAUAUUAAAAAGUAGUAGUAAAAAGUGUAUAUUGAAAGAUCGCCUUUCUCUGAGACGUCCAAAGCAAAAGAAUAGAGCACUAAAUUAGCAAAGUAUUUGAAGGGAAAAUACUGUGUUGAAAAAAUAUGUUUAAAAAGACUAACAUCACACCGUACUUCUAACCCCCCGCACCUCCAAGUAAGGAGAGACUUAGGGUCACAGGCCGCCAGGACAGGCCCACCUAUUCACUGAAGAUCGUACCAUCAGUUACACGGGUGGACACCCACCUAUUGAACGAUUGGAUCAUUUUGGAAAAGCGCUUUAUAAUUUCAUUGUUGGUACUAAUCCCGCGUCGGGGUUACACCAGGAUGAUUUGAUUUCAACAUCCGAUGUCACUUAUGCUCUAUCUUGCCACAGUAGAGCUAUCUCAUGUCGUCGGUUGCAGCCAGUUAGAUCAUGUUUGGACUGUUGAGGUAUCCUGUGUGUCUUGCCACCAUAGGAUUCCAGUCGUAUCAGUGUCUUUUCAGUAAACCAUGUUCAGUGAGAAUAAGAGAAUCCUCUCCGGAAUGUAGUACUAUAUCUUUUCCAUUUUACCUAUACGUUAUAUGUAAGGUAGUUAUGAAUGAAAGUCGUUUCCCUUUAUUUGCCUUCUGAUAUAAAUGGUAUGCCUGCAAAAUAUUCCAAUGAAUACAAUACAUCUGUCUCAACGGGCGCGGCGUGCCACCAUGCCGGGUUCGCUAGUAUUAGAGGAGAGGAGAAGCAAAGCAUCCAUUCCGAGGUGGUUCCACGAUUGGCAGGGUAAUUAAGGGGCGCGGCAGCGGACAGUGAGGUGGAUUGGCGGGCUUGCGGAGGCAUGCCACCAUCCCCCGAGCCAUCGAUAGCAAAAAGGUAAGAAUAUUAGAGGACGCUAAAAUAGACAAGGAGUUUACUGCAGCGUCCUCUAGCAUUAGAGAACAUUGCCUUCCUCUGAGCCGUCCAAAGCAAAAAAAAAAAUAGAGCAUGAAACUAGCGAAAUACUAGAGGAGUAAAUAUUACGUCCAGAAAAUAAAUUAAAAAGAUUGCCUUCCUGUGAGACGUCCAAAGCAAACGAAUAGAGCACAAAAUUAGCAAAAUUUUAGAAGAAAAAAUAUAUUGCGUCUAAAAAAUAUAUUAAAAAGUAGUAGUAAAAAGUGUAUAUUGAAAGAUCGCCUGUCUCUGAGACGUCCAAAGCAAAAGAAUAGAGCACUAAAUUAGCAAAGUAUUUGAAGGGAAAAUACUGUGUUGAAAAAAUAUGUUUAAAAAGACUAACAUCACACCGUACUUCUAACCCCCCGCACCUCCAAGUAAGGAGAGACUUAGGGUCACAGGCCGCCAGGACAGGCCCACCUAUUCACUGAAGAUUGUACCAUCAGUUACACGGGUGGACACCCACCUAUUGAACGAUUGGAUCAUUUUGGAAAAGCGCUUUAUAAUUUCAUUGUUGGUACUAAUCCCGCGUCGGGGUUACACCAGGAUGAUUUGAUUUCAACAUCCGAUGUCACUUAUGCUCUAUCUUGCCACAGUAGAGCUAUCUCAUGUCGUCGGUUGCAGCCAGUUAGAUCAUGUUUGGACUGUUGAGGUAUCCUGUGUGUCUUGCCACCAUAGGAUUCCAGUCGUAUCAGUGUCUUUUCAGUAAACCAUGUUCAGUGAGAAUAAGAGAAUCCUCUCCGGAAUGUAGUACUAUAUCUUUUCCAUUUUACCUAUACGUUAUAUGUAAGGUAGUUAUGAAUGAAAGUCGUUUCCCUUUAUUUGCCUUCUGAUAUAAAUGGUAUGCCUGCAAAAUAUUCCAAUGAAUACAAUACAUCUGUCUCAACGGGCGCGGCGUGCCACCAUGCCGGGUUCGCUAGUAUUAGAGGAGAGGAGAAGAAAAGCAUCCAUUCCGAGGUGGUUCCACGAUUGGCAGGGUAAUUAAGGGGCGCGGCAGCGGACAGUGAGGUGGAUUGGCGGGCUUGCGGAGGCAUGCCACCAUCCCCCGAGCCAUCGAUAGCAAAAAGGUAAGAAUAUUAGAGGACGCUAAAAUAGACAAGGAGUUUACUGCAGCGUCCUCUAGCAUUAGAGAACAUUGCCUUCCUCUGAGCCGUCCAAAGCAAAAAAAAAAAAUAGAGCAUGAAACUAGCGAAAUACUAGAGGAGUAAAUAUUACGUCCAGAAAAUAAAUUAAAAAGAUUGCCUUCCUGUGAGACGUCCAAAGCAAACGAAUAGAGCACAAAAUUAGCAAAAUUUUAGAAGAAAAAAUAUAUUGCGUCCAAAAAAUAUAUUAAAAAGUAGUAGUAAAAAGUGUAUAUUGAAAGAUCGCCUUUCUCUGAGACGUCCAAAGCAAAAGAAUAGAGCACUAAAUUAGCAAAGUAUUUGAAGGGAAAAUACUGUGUUGAAAAAAUAUGUUUAAAAAGACUAACAUCACACCGUACUUCUAACCCCCCGCACCUCCAAGGAAGGAGAGACCUAGGGUCACAGACCGCCAGGACAGGCCCAGCCAGAAGUGCGUAGCGAAUGCUUUCGCCUCAGCAGAGCUGAUGAAUCAGCUUUGCGUCUUCGGCGAGGCAGAUCACAGCGCAAGCCUAUUUAAGCCGCGUCCUACCUCCUAAGGCGAGCGGUGUGGUACUAAACAUUGCAACAGACAGGAGCGCACUACGUUUUGUAACUCUUGUUCCUAACCUGGGCCGUCGUGUUCGGCCCAGCAGCUAGGCCUGCCCGUGAGGGACUACGCACGCGCUAGCAGGGAUUCAAUCUGGGGUUGCGCCGCGGCCGGCGGAAGUGGCGCAUGACCUCUGACGCCGCCGUAUUCGUGUUGCGCGGGAGGAGGUGCUGGUGGCUCCAUCGGGUUUGUCUCCUCCCGGCGUACCUCCUGGCGCCGGGAAUCGAGACCGGCGGCUGGAGCUCGGGAGGCGGGACAGGGUGUCCAAGACCCGAGGCUGCGCGCACUCCUCCAAGGGUCCUACGGGAGGUCUCCGACUACGACGGCAACUCCUACUCGGGCUCUGCUGGGCCGAUCAGUUCGUAUCAUUCAUGACAAAUUUUCUCUGGUCCGGGCUCUCCCGCUGGGCCGGCGACGCCAACUUGUGGGAGUGCGUGUCAUGGGAACGGCUACAAGUCAGGGUGGACACACGGUACUGUCUCUCACCGAGCCGACGUUUGGAGCGGCCGCCCGGCGUCUCUCAAGCCCGGGGUGGACCGAGAGGAUCCGCCGUGCUCACCUCAUCUGAGAGAAGAAUGCGCACGGGAGGUUGUUGGACGGCGCAGGGAGAGAUUCAGGCGACUCCAUGGUCGAGAUAGGCGACACUGAACACACGACAAGUCGACAACGACGGGAGGCGGUGGCGUCAGCCGUCAGCUAGGGCGGGAUUGUUGUCGUCGCCGGACCACGAUCGGCAACUGAACCUGACAGACUAACACACUGAAACUGAACACGAAAUAAGCAAGAGACAAUAGUUGAGCAUCCCACACUUCACGAGCGUCCCAGAAUAAAAGGAAACGAAAACCGAUCCUAAACUGAAUCUCCUGCGUCAUAUCCGAACAACUUUGACGUGGAGGUGGUCAUGGUAUGGGGCUGAGAUUAUUGGAUCUAACCCCGUUUCUCUAGCUCUUUCUUUUUUCCCUUCGGCAGAAUAUCUUUACCUAAUAACUACUCCCUCCGUUCCAAAAUAGAUGACUCAACUUUGUACUAACUUUAGUACAAAACUGAGUCAUCUAUUUUGGAACGGAGGGAGUAGCAAAAACGACCGUGCGUUACAACGGAAGAAAAACUAAAGGGGACCGCUAAAACUCAGUCGACUAAGUUUUAGCGAAGUCUCAGUCGAUGCCCCGGUUCGUUGGAUCGUUUCGAGAUUUAAACGAUCGCUGAUGUCUUGUAUUGAAGUAUCAGCCUGUUCUAGUGGUGCGACCGGCCCGUUAUCUUUUUCUUUUCCUUCCUUUUCGCCUUUUUGUCUGUGUUGGACAGGGAUACGCUAUGGGCUGACCGUGACGGGCGUUGUGUGCUUUUUCUUUGUUUUUUGCCUUUUCUUCUUUUUAGGCUUUCUUCUAGGCUGGGCUUUUUUCCGGUGCUAGUAUUUGCCUGGGGACAGGAGCGAGCAAUACGAUCCCAUUUUCUCCUGCUGGCCGUUCAUCUCUCUCACAUAGCCACAUGCAAGUUCGUUCAUCUCUCUCACAUGGCCACAUGCAAGUUUUUUUAACUAGACGUGGAAGACAAAGUCUGUGUGUUUUUGUUAUUGUAGUAGUCUAUAAACGAGCAUAUUCAUUUUUCAACAUUUUUACUAAUUUUUUUGUUGAAAGGGUCACAACGCGUCUAAAAACUAGAGAGAGGGAGCGCCAAUUGCACGUCCACACCCUGAGCUGCAUUUUCAUUUGGGCUAUAGCUUGUCUUGUGUGUGCCGCCGACGUCGGAGUAACGACAAGUAUUCAUUUUUAUUUUUUAUUUUUUUGGGUGCCAGUUGCAUUCCCAUUCCCUGAGUUGCAACUGCAUGCGGAUCAUGUCGACUAUAAUUGCAUAUCUGCCACUAGACUCGCAACUGCAAGGGUCGGCAUCCGACUGCAAUUCAUGUCCACCCCUGAGCUGCAUUUUCAUUUGGGUUAUAGCUUGUCUUGUGUGCCACCACCGGAGUGACGACAAGGAUGCUUUUUAUUUUUUAUUUUUUGGGUGCUGUUGCAUGCCCAUUCACUAAGUUGCAAUUGCAUGCGGGCCAUAUCGACUGCAAUCAGUGGUGGUGCCAGGAAUAAAAAUCAUGUGUAGUCACUUUAAAGUUGUGUAGUCAAAUAUAAUAAUUUUAUAGUUUUUCGCAUGAUUUAUACUUGAUGUAUUACGUUUUAUGCCAAAGAGCUGUGUAGUCAAGUGACUACACAGCCUAGACGUGGCUUAGCCACUGACUGCAAUUGCAUGUUUGUCACUAGACUCGCAAUUGCAAGUGUCGACACCCGACUGCAAUUCAUGUCCAUCACUGGCUGCAUUUUCAUAUGGGUUAUAGCUUGUCUUGUGUGCCGCCGCCGGCGGAGUGACGACUAGGAUUCAUUUUUAUUUUUUAUUUUUUGGGAGCUAUUUGUAUGCCCAUUCCCUGAGUAGCAACUGCAUGUGGGCCUUGUCGAUUGCAAUUGCAUGUCUGCCACUAGACUCGCAACUGCAAGUGUCGACACCCAACUACAAUUCAUGUCCACCCCUGAGCUUAAAUUUUCAUAUGGGUUAUAGCUUAUCUUGUGUGCCGCCGCUGCCGGGGUGCCGAUAAGGAUGCAUUUUUGGGUGCCAGUUGCAUGCCCAUUCCGUAAGUUGCAACUGCAUGCGGGCCAUGUUGACUGCAAUUGCAUGUUUGUCACUAGACUCGCAACUGCAAGUGUCGUCAUCCGACUGCAAUUCAAGUCCACCCUGGCUGUAUUUUCAUAUGGGUUAUAGCUUGUCUUGUAUGUCGCCGGAUUCAUUUUUAUUUUUUAUUUUUUGGGAGCCAAUUGUAUGCCCAUUCCCUGAGUUGCAACCGUAUGCGGGCCUUAUCGAUUUCAAUUGCAUGUUUGCCACUAGACUCACAACUGCAAGUGUUGACACCCGAAUGCAAUUUAUGUCCACCCUCGAGCUUAAUUUUUCAUAUGGGUUAUAACUUAUCUUGUGUGCCGCCGCCGGGGUGACGAUAAGGAUGCAUUUUUCGGGUGCCAAUUGCAUGCCCAUUCCCUGAGUUGCAGUUGCAUGCGAGCCAUGUCGACUGCAAUUGCAUGUCUGCCACUAGACUCGCAAUUGCAUGUGUUGGCAACCACUUGCAAUUCAUGUCCACCCCUGAGCUGCAUUUUCAUAUGUGUAUAGCUUGUCUUGUGUGCCACCACCGGAGUGACGACACGGAUGCAUUUUUGUUUUUAAUUUUUUUGGGUGCCAAUUGCAUGCCCAUUCCCUGAGUUGCAACUGCAUGCGGGCCAUGUCAACUGCAAUUGCAUGUCUGCCACAAGACUCGCAAUUGUGAGCGUCGGCACCCGAUUGCAAUUCAUGUCCACCCCGAGCUGCAUUUUCAUAUGGAUUAUAGCUUGUCUUGUGUGUCACCGCCGCCGGAGUGACAAUAAGGAUGUAUUUUUAUUUUUGUUGGGUGCCAAUUGCAUGCCUAUUCCUUGAGUUGCAACUGCAUGCGAGCCAUGUAGACUGCAAUUGCAUGUCUGCCACUAGACCCGCAACUGCGAGUGUCAGUAUCCGACUACAAUUCAUGUAGAGCCCCUGAUCACGCCAUCACACAAAUCACUGAGGGUGGGUUUUCUAACUCGUUUAGUCCCACAAUUGCAUGUCGACCUCCUGGACAUGUGAUGCCAUGCGCGGCUCUUCCAACAUGGUUGAACUGGACUUCUGUUUUUUCAGAGGGCAUCGGGAGAGGGGGUGCAAUUGCAUGUGUACACUAGCCUUGCAACUGCAAGCACCGUCCCCUACUGCAAUUGCAUGUCUUCCAAUACGAUGAACUGUACUUUUUUUGCUCGGGGUGUAGUUGCAUGCGUACACUAGGCAUGCAACUGCAAGUGUCACCCCUCGACUGCAACAACAUGUCUUUUCAACAUCGCUGUAUCUAGACUUUGUUUUGUUGGAAGGGACAACGGGAAGUCGCACUGGUGUGGCCUUGGAUCUCUCAACUCACUGGAAUGUGGCCCCAAUCCUCAACUUCUAACGUUCUCCUAGAAAUAUCCAGCCGUCACUGUUUAAAUUUAGACACAGAGAGGGGNNNNNNNNNNNNNNNNNNNNNNNNNNNNNNNNNNNNNNNNNNNNNNNNNNNNNNNNNNNNNNNNNNNNNNNNNNNNNGGGGGGGGGGAGGAUGAGAGAAGGUCGUACAUGGGGUCCAUACCUCAGGUGUCUGCGAUGCAGGUCGUCGGCGUCGAGAUCCAUGGGCACACUGGUGCAACUCCAGCCUACUCGCGCCCUGCAGAGCAUGUAAUCAACCUACUUGCCCAAGUAAAUCAAUCCCCGUCGUUGUGUCUGUGCGCCGAAAUUCAGCACCCCUACCUUAAUUUUUUCUCUAGGGUUCACCUAUGUGUGACAAAAUUACCAUUCAUAGAGAUGUCCCAACGCAAGAGAGUAGCCCAAAUGUCAAAGUAGUGACUAAGGUGCCAAUGAUUUUUUUUUUGUUCUGCCUGUGUUGAGUUUUUGCUCGGGCGGAGCCCAAAUUUUGGAUGCUCCGAAAUGGAGGGUUCCCCAUUUUUCUUGGGCAGUUUUCAAUGUGUCUAAUAUGAAAUGAAGUGGCUGAAAAAUUUCAAAGUAGCUUCUGAUCGCUUUUUUAAGUAGCCGCCGUCAGGUUCUGAGCACCUCUGAUUUUGUUAUAACUGGUGAACGGAGCUGAUUGUAUUCACUAAUUGAACCCAACUCUAACCAAAGUGCGCACACACACACAGACCAAGCUGACUUGUGCAUGCAAACAAGACAAACAAACAAACAGGGAACCGAAGGAAUUCUCGUCGUUUAGGUACAGAAUAGCUUUUUUAGCUGUCUCUUUCUGGGCUGUAGUUUUUUUUUUUCAUUUUAGCAAAAAAACCAAACAAACAAACAGCCCAAACCAAUAAAAAGACAAAGAAAAGCCCAGAACUGAAGCCCAUAACGGGGGGAUUAUAACCCACUAUCCAGGGAGGCAAAACGGGCCAAAUCAUCUCUAGGUGACAUCAUUCGACUGAGACUUUGCGAAGUCUCGGUCGACUGAUUCCUAGACACACCCAAAACUAAAAGAACACAACAAGCAACGCGCGAAAAUCAGGCUUGAAGGCAUAUAUGUUCUUAUUAGCCAUACCCGCGCGAGCGGCACGCUGCGCCUCAUCGAUAUGGUACAUGUAUAUGUCCUAUUUUCAGUGUAUAAAAACUGCAAAAAUUAGUGUGCAUAGAAACUACAAGACAACUAUGCUCAGCAGGGAGAUGAACCAGCGCAAGAACACAUACACACCAUGCACGGACAUGUAUGAACACGGAGCCAUCGUACAUCAAGAAGAUUAUACUCGCCCAAACACGCUGGCCUCGAUGAUGAGCCUGCGAUUGGGCUACCAACACAACACAUCUAAGCUCACCACCACCAUCUCUUCUACGACCAUGGUGUCAUGGACACGGAACUGCCCCAUCUCCAUCUCUGACGUGCCUUCCUCCCAUCACUCCAUCGCCAUCCGCACGGUCCACAGUUCUUGCCCAUCAACUUGCAUGCUUCAUCGCUGCCGGAUAUGAUGCACACGGCCUGGCGCAACACCACAUGGGCCUCCGUCGACGGGAGCAGAUGGAGAAACAGAGAAAGCCAUGUCCGACUCCAACGACAACGUGCGGUCCAGGGUUGUUGCCGAGUGCCUGACACAUCGUAGGGCGGAUGCCGCGAUGCUCUACCUGUCAUGUUACCGCCGCGCCCAUGCUACGCUGCAGCGCUGUAGGCUGUAGCCUCCGUCCGCCGCUGCACCACUCCGUUUCUCUGCUUGAUCUACGAUUUUGAGGAGCAAAAGCAUGUGGAGCUGGUGCAUCUGCCACUGCUAAACGACCGUGGCAUGGUGGAGGGCGUGGAUGGCUACACCGGUUGCCCCUCGGCGGCGGACCUCGCGGUGAUCCUCGGCGUUGUCGACGACAAGACGGCUAGCAGGCUGGCCUCGAGCUUGUCCGGCGCCGCUCAGCAUGGAAGUCCGCAGGAGGCGCUGAGACAACACUGUCAUCGUCGUGUCUCAGGAAGAACGAAGGGGCACUGCUAUGGAGAGCUAUCGGCAAGCAGAACAAGGCCUAGAACUGCUGCUACGGGCUCCAUGCUGAGUGGGGGAGAGGCUGGGAAAGAAAUGAAGCGGCCUAAUGGCUGCGGUCGAGAGACGACUGGCAGCGAGCAGAUAGAGGCAACAAAGAAAAGGCAGCCCGCAUGUUAGGAUGAGAAGACCGCGCGAGGCGAGACAAACGGGUUUUAG